AUACGUAGGGUGCAAGCGUUAAUCGGAAUUACUGGGCGUAAAGCGUGCGCAGGCGGUUUUGUAAGACAGGGGUGAAAUCCCCGGGCUCAACCUGGGAACUGCCAUUGUGGCUGCAAGGCUGGAGUGCGGCAGAGGGGGAUGGAAUUCCGCGUGUAGCAGUGAAAUGCGUAGAUAUGCGGAGGAACACCGAAGGCGAAGGUAAUCCCCUGGGCCUGCACGGACGCUCAUGCACGAAAGCGUGGGGAGCAAACAGGAUUAGAUACGCAGGUAGUCCACGCCCUAAACGAUGUCAACUGGUUGUUGGGGAUUUAUUUUCUCAGUAACGAAGCUAACGCGUGGAGUGGACCGCCUGGGUAGUACGGUCGCAAGACUGACACUCAAAGGAAUUAACGGGG
rnacentral:rRNA from 1 species